UGAAUAAUUUUUAUUGUUUUUACCCUAUAACAUGAUGCAAACAUGUAUACAUAUUUUUCUUGUUCACAUACAAAUGUUAAUUAUAAAUGAUAGGCCUAUAUGUUUUUAAUAAUAGGUCAUUAUAAUGCAAAAAGAAAAUCGUAUUUAUUAAUUCCAACAGUUUAUGCUCAUCAAGCAUAAAAAUCAACAUGUGCGAUCCUAAUAAUAUUAAAGGACUUGAUCAGAUGAGCUUCUUUUCUAUGAAGAAGUCUUUGAGUCUGUUCAUUUGCCAGAAGCCCACAGAGAGAAGGAUGGUUGUCUGCACCACAGACCACCACAGCACACUACGGUUGGUGUCCUCGCUGUUUUGACGAAAAACCUCUUCUCUCUCCUAAAGGGAACAGCAGAACAGGCUAGAGUGAAGAGAGUACGUAGUACGUUUUGUCCCUUACAAAUAAAUGAAGUAGUAAAAGUGCUUCACAAUAUCAUGAGUGCAUAUAUAUUGCUAUGCUCUAGCUAGACAGGACAGAUAUCAUUCAUGAUAAGUUAUGAAUACCCUUUGUUGGUCUUGCUGCCUGGUGAUGUACAUCAUCUGAUCAAUCAUAUGAUUCAGAGACUCCUCCAUAGUGUGCAGGUUUUCCUUGGUCUUCUCUGAGCCUCUCUCAAUGGGAUGUUCUCCCAUCUGAACAUCCAAAUGCAGUUUCUACACACACGCACACGCACAAGCACACACACACACACACACACACUCAAACACACACGUAACACAAGCACACAGAGACACAGUAAGAUACAUGCACGUAUAGGCACGUAGAUAAACAUGAGGUUGUGGUUUAGGUAACCCUAAAUAUGUAAGCAAAAUCCUACCUUUGCUUGCAUAAGAUCAUUUUUGUUUGGCAAAGGCGGUGAUGAGCAAGUCUGUUUGUUUGUGUGUGUGUUUUCUCUGUCUGUGUGUGUCUGACUGAUUAUGUGUGUAUGCCUGUCUGACGUGUCUGUCUAUGUGUGUGUCUCUGUAUGUUUAUGUGUGUGCCUGUCCGACUGUGUUUGUGUGUGUGUGUGUGUGUGUGUGCGUGUGUUUCUCACAAGCUUUUCCUUGGCAAAGACAGAGAAGCUGGUAGAGUUGGUUUGGAAGCAGAGCAGGUGCUGUCCACUGGCAUGAGAGGUGAAGGUGAAUUUACCGUGUUUCCCGUAACGCUUGGUCAUCAACACCUGCAGACCAGCCACACACCGCACAGACAGCGUGCCUUCAGGGAUGUCCUCUAUUAUGCAUCUCUCCUCCUGUUCUCCCAGGUCCAUAAACAUGGCCUCCACCAGCACCAGUCAUAAGCAGUUAUCGGGGGUGCACUUCUUCUCCUCCUCCAGCAGAGGGCAGGCCGUUCCGUGGUUGGCCGAGUGCAUGAGCACGUAGCGUGUGCGGUGCCUCACGCCCGAGUCUCCGCACUUCCCUUUGCACAAGCCCCACGGAGACCAUGGGGAAACCUCGCAAUCCAGGGGAGUUUCUGCAGAAAAGGGAAGGCAUAACUAAAUUCAAUAAUUCUCAAAAAAAACCUUAAGAACCAGUUAUCCUAGAAUGCUACUAAUUUUAAAGCCAUUAUAAGGGUUUAAUAAUCAAUACUUGCAAUAUAGUAUAGAAUAAUUUAGAAAGGUGUACGUUUAUGUUUAGUUGGCUGUCUUUUUCACUUUUCUAUUGUUUUAUCUCUUAGAAUGCUAAAAUAUUUAGCUAGGAUAUUGCAAUGUAGCAAUAUUAAGCCAUAUGUGUAUACCUCAUAUGUGAGUCUUUAUCUUUGCUAAAUAUAAAAUCAAAAACCAUUAAAGUACAGUCUGGUAAAUGUUAGAAUUCCUUAGGUUGCCAUUAAGAAGUGCUUUCUUGGCAACAAUUGGGUCGGUUGAAGGUAAACAGUUGGAGUACAUCUGGUUAAUUAAAGCUGAAUCACCCUUUAAAACCACAUCUCUUAUCAUUAAUGUAAUGCUGAGUAGCCAAGUCAGCUGCAUACACACAAGCACAUACACACCACACGCACGCACAAACACCCGCAUUCACACACACACACACACAAACACACAUAUUCAAACUCACACACACAAGCACACAUACCCUCAAUCAUAGCACUGCAUCUCUUCCUGUAAGCCAUUCUUUGCCAAAAAAGCCGUUUGUUUAAAAUAGUUGUUGAACAUAGCUUUUAAGCUUGUCUGGUAUUGUCAUAAUUUUUCUGUGCGAUUUAUCUCUGUAUCUCUCUCUUUCUCCCUCUCCCUCUCUCUCUCUCUCUCCCUCUCUCUCUCCCUAUCCCUCUCCCCCUCUCUCUCUCCCUCUCUCUCUUCCUCCCUCUUCCUCUCUCUCUCUGUGUCUAAUCCGGUGCUAGGCCAGGCUCGCUCGCCCACGGUGGGAUGAUCUUAUAAAAACAUUGAUAGGCAUCGCAGACAGCGGCUCGUGGACCAGAGUGGAAUAGCAGACGGCCAUGGAGGAGGAGGAGCAGGAGGAGGAGGAGGAGGAGGAGAGAAGGGAAGACGAAAUGACAGACGGAGGUUUUGACAAGAGGUUAGAGUCGACAUCUUCAAGCAUGAAUGGGCUCAGAUCUACUGUGCAGGUCGCUCUGACCGACAAAGAGAUGUUGAAUCGUCGGAGGUUAACGUGACACGCUCUGACUCAACUGACGCAAGGCAUUGUAUAAGCGAUCUGUGAUUAACAAGAAACAAACCCCAAAAA